rnacentral:rRNA from 1 species
CGUGCCUAAUACAUGCAAGUCGAGCGAACGGACGAGAAGCUGCUUCUCUGAUGUUAGCGGCGGACGGGUGAGUAACACGUGGAUAACCUACCUAUAAGACUGGGAUAACUUCGGGAAACCGUAGCUAAUACCGGAUAAUAUUUUGAACCGCAUGGUUCAAAAGUGAAAGACGGUCUUGCUGUCACUUAUAGAUGGAUCCGCGCUGCAUUAGCUAGUUGGUAAGGUAACGGCUUACCAAGGCAACGAUGCAUAGCCGACCUGAGAGGGUGAUCGGCCACACUGGAACUGAGACACGGUCCAGACUCCUACGGGAGGCAGCAGUAGGGAAUCUUCCGCAAUGGGCGAAAGCCUGACGGAGCAACGCCGCGUGAGUGAUGAAGGUCUUCGGAUCGUAAAACUCUGUUAUUAGGGAAGAACAUAUGUGUAAGUAACUGUGCACAUCUUGACGGUACCUAAUCAGAAAGCCACGGCUAACUACGUGCCAGCAGCCGCGGUAAUACGUAGGUGGCAAGCGUUAUCCGGAAUUAUUGGGCGUAAAGCGCGCGUAGGCGGUUUUUUAAGUCUGAUGUGAAAGCCCACGGCUCAACCGUGGAGGGUCAUUGGAAACUGGAAAACUUGAGUGCAGAAGAGGAAAGUGGAAUUCCAUGUGUAGCGGUGAAAUGCGCAGAGAUAUGGAGGAACACCAGUGGCGAAGGCGACUUUCUGGUCUGUAACUGACGCUGAUGUGCGAAAGCGUGGGGAUCAAAC